UUCCCUCCCAGCUGCAUCCUUUCUCCUCUCAGCAAGUCAGUAGAGGCAGUGGUCACCCCUCUGCGACUGACAGUGAGCGAGGAGUCCAACCCUCCAUCUCUUCUCCUGACUCCAGAAGAGGCCUCCACCCCUCCUGCUGAAUCUGCUCCUCUGUACAGUAUUGAUGCCUACCGCACACAAAGACAGAGCAAGCCCUCCACCAUUCAGAGUGUCACUCCAGGGGUUCAGGGACCAGCUCCAGAGAAGUCCCGACCUCAGCCCUCUGUCAGCAACAAGGAGAAAAUCAAGGCUCUAAAUGAAGAAGCAGGAAAGCUUCAGACGGUGAUCGGCCAGACUCUCCAGGCUCUGAGCUGCUGUACUGACGAGGAGCAUGGACGGGGCUCACUGGAGGAGGCUGAAGCUGAGAAACUACUGCUGGUCUCCUGUGAGAAGCGCUCUGCUUUACUGGUAGAAAUGGCCAGA